rnacentral:lncRNA from 1 species
GGCAAUAAAAGAAGUCACAGGAGGAUUUUUGCAGAGCUUCCAUCCAGUUCAGAAACAAAGCAAUUCAAUACAUGUCUUCAAGAUUUCUAAAGGCAAUGACUUAGUGUUGAAAAGCUAAUUCACAGCUCCCCAGCUGCCUACUUGUGGGGACAGCUUUCUUCGGCUACAGGCAGUAAUUGCUUUACUGCUAUCCUAAAUUGCCCUGGAGAAGAAAGCAAAGCUUUGCUUGCUUUAUCCUGUGGAUUUAAAGCAGUGCCUAUACUUGCUCUGCAUAGAAGAGAACUUCUUCUCCUACAGAUAUUUUUAUUCUAAUCCAUGCAACACAUUCCAGUUGAGACAUGAGAAACAAGAUUAUGAAGACACGCCCUAGUGUACAUUUUAUCUGCACUGGCCUCAUGAGAAAAAUCAAAUAAGAUUAUCUUACAUUAGAAAAUUUUCUUGCAUACUUUAUGCAACAGUGGAAACAACACAGGAUUGGAAUUAGAAGACCUGGUUUUAAAUACCAAAUUGUUCCCCAGAAUGAUCUGAUCCUACUGCUAAGCCUAUCUGGAUGUCAGUUUCUACAUCUCUAAAAGGAAGGUGUGC